GCCAUCUUAACUCAGUUGGUAGAGUAACUCUUUCGUAAAGAGUAAGUCCCGGGUUCGAAUCCCGGAGAUGGCU
rnacentral:tRNA from 1 species